GGCUGGUAAGAUUGCAGUGGUAUUUAUAACUCAUUGGUCACAACUAGUUACAGAUUUCUUUGUUCCUUCUCCAUUCCCACUGCUUCACUUGACUAGCCAAAA
ensembl:misc_RNA Y_RNA Y RNA